AACGAACGCUGGCGGCAUGCCUAACACAUGCAAGUCGAACGAGACCUUCGGGUCUAGUGGCGCACGGGUGCGUAACGCGUUGGAACCUGCCCUUAGGUUCGGAAUAACUCCCCGGAAGGGGUGCUAAUACCGGAUAAUGUCUUCGGACCAAAGAUUUAUCGCCUUUGGAUGGGCCCGCGUUGGAUUAGCUAGUUGGUAGGGUAAAAGCCUACCAAGGCGACGAUCCAUAGCUGGUCUGAGAGGAUGAUCAGCCACACUGGGACUGAGACACGGCCCAGACUCCUACGGGAGGCAGCAGUGGGGAAUAUUGGACAAUGGGCGAAAGACUGAUCCAGCAAUGCCGCGUGAGUGAUGAAGGCCUUAGGGUUGUAAAGCUCUUUUACCCGGGAUGAUAAUGACAGUACCGGGAGAAUAAGCUCCGGCUAACUCCGUG
rnacentral:rRNA from 1 species